rfam:Ciona savignyi cont_6678, whole genome shotgun sequence.
GAGAGCUCAUCUGUCCGGUAUUCGAUCGCUACGUAUAGGCUGAUCUGCUUUGAUAGGUGACACCCACUCUCCCGAUGCCAUGCGCUCGGUCGAGAGGAGAAUGGAUCCCUCGGAUGCUAGGCGUGGAUUAGAGAUUAAAGUAGGAGUAUUCGCCCCCACUUAAUUCUUCCCUCCCCUUCGGCAUCGCGGUCCGAUAAGCCAUCAACCACAUCCAUAUAGGCACUGCACGGGGCAGUAUGCCUUCAUUU